AUCAGAAGAAUGGCAGCCCAGCACCAAAGUCAUGUAUCCGGGGUUGGAAAGAGGAAAUUGAAUGACCGCUACCUGCACCGCAUUCAAGACCUAACUGGCCCUGGAAGCCAGCGUGAACCAAGUCUGAUUUUGACAGAUACAGAAGGAGGCCAUGGAGGACCACAAGGACCACAUCCACUGAAUUCUCCUCUGCUCACAUUAGUCCAGACUCAGUUGUGAUGGAAUUUUUCCUGCAGCCUCUCCAGUUCAGAAUGAGCAUGGCAAAGUCGAAGGGAAUUUGACUGGGGUGAAAGAAGUGACGAUGUCAGAGUGCUAAUUGGCGUCUCUCGCACUCGCUUCUCAGCCCUAUAUCUCCUCCUCCUGGAUCCCAUCUUUCGCCUUCUCCUGCGAUGGAUGCCUUUGAGAGGUUUGAGCAGAUCCUGGAUGUUGUGGUGUUAAUGGGCGCCCUUUACUUCCUGGCCUACACCUCCAUCUUCCUCUUCUUCCUCUUCCUCCUCCUGCCCUUGGCCUUCAUCUUUGACGAGGAGAUACCCGAAGUGGAAACAGACUCGCCCGACUGAAUAAAACAUUGAAUUUGACUGCA